GAACCCUGUUGUAACAGUCUCACUCAGUCUCAGAGCACCAAUCAAAGCUCUGCUUCACAACAAACAACCAACCAGAAUGAAACUCAGGUUUACUCCUCUCUUCUUCAUGGUGAUCUUUCAGUCUAUGAACCAAUCUGAGGCUCUGGA